rnacentral:rRNA from 1 species
CCUACGGGACGCAGCAGUGAGGGAUAUUGGUCAAUGGGGGAAACCCUGAACCAGCAACGCCGCGUGAGGGAAGACGGUUUUCGGAUUGUAAACCUCUGUCCUCUGUGAAGAUAAUGACGGCAGCAGAGGAGGAAGCUCCGGCUAACUACGUGCCAGCAGCCGCGGUAAUACGUAGGGAGCGAGCGUUAUCCGGAUUUACUGGGUGUAAAGGGAGCGUAGGCGGCCACGCAAGUCAGAAGUGAAAACCCGGGGCUCAACCCUGGGAGUGCUUUUGAAACUGUGCGGCUAGAGUGUCGGAGGGGUAA